AGCAGCCGCGGUAAUUCCAGCUCCAAUAGCGUAUAUUAAAGUUGUUGCAGUUAAAAAGCUCGUAGUUGAAUUUCGGGAUCAAUAUAUCGGUCGUGCCUUUGGUACGUACUGGUAUCAUUGAUUUCUCCCUUCUGACGAAUCAUGAUGUCAUUAAUUUGGUGUUAUGAGGAGUUAGGACUGUUACUUUGAAAAAAUUAGAGUAUUUAAAGCAGGCAUUAGCUUGAAUACAUUAGCAUGGAAUAAUGAAAUAGGACGUUUGACCCUAUUUUGUUGGUUUCUAGGAUCGACGUAAUGAUUAAUAGGGAUAGGUUGGGGGCAUUAGUAUUCAAUUGUCAGAGGUGAAAUUCUUGGAUUUAUUGAAGACUAACUACUGCGAAAGCAUUUGCCAAGGAUGUUUUCAUUAAUCAAGGACGAAAGUUAGGGGAUCGAAGACGAUCAGAUACCGUCGUAGUCUUAACCAUAAACUAUGCCGACUAGGGAUCGGAUGAUGUUAAUUUUANAAUGACUCAUUC
rnacentral:rRNA from 1 species